CUCUUACAGAACGGGCUUCUUGUAACCUAAACCUUUCCAGUGGUGGAUGUCUGGUGCUUCGUCCCAGCAGUGAGGAAGUGACUGAGACACUAUCUUUGCCAGUAAGUGUGAACUUUCCCUUGUUAAGUGAAACUGCUAGACGAACCCUGCUGGAACAACUAUGGUAUCCAGAAGGACUGUGUG
rnacentral:lncRNA from 1 species